UACGGGGGGAGCAAGCGUUGUUCGGAUUUACUGGCGUAAAGGGCGCGUAGGCGGCCACCGCAAGUCGGUUGUGAAAUCUCCGGGCUUAACCCGGAAAGGUCAAUCGAUACUGCGGGGCUAGAGUGCAGAAGGGGCAACUGGAAUUCUCGGUGUAGCGGUGAAAUGCGUAGAUAUCGAGAGGAACACCUGCGGCGAAGGCGGGUUGCUGGGCUGACACUGACGCUGAGGCGCGAAAGCCAGGGGAGCGAACGGG
rnacentral:rRNA from 1 species